GGAGUCGGCCGGACAGUCGCUGCCUUUUGGGUUUCAACGCCUGAUCGGCGGAGGAAAGUCCGGGCUCCACAGGGCAGGGUGCCAGGUAACGCCUGGGGGGCGUGAGCCCACGGAAAGUGCCACAGAAAACAAACCGCCGAUGGCCCUUCGGGGCACAGGUAAGGGUGAAAAGGUGCGGUAAGAGCGCACCGCGCGGCUGGCAACAGUUCGCGGCACGGUAAACCCCACCCGGAGCAAGACCAAAUAGGGGAGCAAUGGCGUGGCCCGCGCUGCUCCCGGGUAGGUUGCUAGAGGCAGGUGGUGACACCUGUCCCAGAGGAAUGGCUGUCCUCGACAGAACCCGGCUUACAGGCCGACUCCACCC
rnacentral:RNase_P_RNA from 1 species